CAGUGCCCAGGGCUUUAAAGCUCUCUGGGACCCCCUCUUCACUGCCCAGGCCAGCGUUAGAGGAAGGAGUCAUGUCCUGCUUAAAGGUGUCAAGGAAUCUGUGGGGGGUGGGGGUAGGAGCUGUGUCCUCCUGCUCAAAGUCUCCUUGGUCCUUGCCCUUCCAGCCUGGCCACCCCUGCCUCAUGAACCUGAAGCUCUUUCUGUGUCACUUUUCUCCUCUAAUGCCUGGGAGUAUGUGGCUGGGUGGAGGGAGAAGCUGGGAGUCAGGGUCCUGGUUCCCAACCCUUCUUGGUAGUCUGCCUGUGCCUGGAACCCUGGUCUGGAUGCAUCCUGCACCUCGCGCCUUGCCCACGGCUGGUCUCUUGCUCCAUGGCCUCCCUGAGUGACCCCACUCUGACAUGGUCUGGCCAGGUGUUUACUCAAAGACAUCAAUGAACAUGGGGCUGGGGGUUCUUUCUAGGGUCGUGAAUGCCAGGGUCUGGAACCUGAAGACUUUUCUAAGGGCCAGGGCCCAGGUGCCACAUUUGAAGCCCAGGGAAGGGUCCCUGUCAUCCCUGGAGCAGAGCCAUGUGGGCUGUGCAUGUGGGCGACCACCCAGACCCCUUGCCUGGCCUUCCUCCCUGAAGGGCCUCUGGAGACCUGUAUGUGUCUUUUUUUCUCUGUCUGUGCCAGG
rnacentral:lncRNA from 1 species